UACAGAGGGGGCAAGCGUUGUUCGGAAUUACUGGGCGUAAAGGGCGCGUAGGCGGCCUUCUAAGUCGAACGUGAAAUCCCUGGGCUCAACCCAGGAACUGCGUCCGAUACUGGAAGGCUUGAAUCCGGGAGAAGGAUGCGGAAUUCCAGGUGUAGCGGUGAAAUGCGUAGAUAUCUGGAGGAACACCGGUGGCGAAGGCGGCAUCCUGGACCGGCAUUGACGCUGAGGCGCGAAAGCCAGGGGAGCAAACGGG
rnacentral:rRNA from 1 species